CCAUCCGCGUGAGUGAAGAAGGCCUUCGGGUUGUAAAGUUCUUUCGCAAGGGAAGAAAACUUAUGAUCGAAUAAAUCAUGAGGUUGACGGUACCUUGAUAAGAAGCACCGGCUUGCUACGUGCCAGCAGCCGCGGUAAUACGUAGGGUGCGAGCGUUAAUCGGAAUUACUGGGCGUAAAGCGUGCGCAGGCGGUUUUGUAAGUCGGAUGUGAAAUCCCCGGGCUCAACCUGGGAACUGCGUUCGAAACUGCAAGGCUAGAGUGUGUCAGAGGGGGGUAGAAUUCCACGUGUAGCAGUGAAAUGCGUAGAGAUGUGGAGGAAUACCAAUGGCGAAGGCAGACCCCUGGGAUAACACUGACGCUCAUGCACGAAAGCGUGGGGAGCAAACAGGAUUAGAUACCCUGGUAGUCCACGCCCUAAACGAUGUCAACUAGUUGUUGGUAGAGUAAAAUCUAUGAGUAACGUAGCUAACGCGUGAAGUUGACCGCCUGGGGAGUACGGUCGCAAGAUUAAAACUCAA
rnacentral:rRNA from 1 species